rnacentral:misc_RNA from 1 species
AAUUGAACCUCUUAGGUUGUUCAUGCCAAGAUCCAAUAUAAGUAAAUUUUUCAGAUCUCCUAAGUUGGAAGGAAUGGAACCAUUGAUUUGAUUCCGUGAAAGAGUCAAUUGCUGCAAAUUAAUUAAAUGACUUAAAGAUGAAGGAAUUGACCCAACGAGCAUAUUAUCAGACAAAUCAAUGGUAAUUAAAUUUUUGAGUUGCCCUAAUUCUUGUGGAAUAAA